GACGAACGCUGGCGGCGUGCUUAACACAUGCAAGUCGAACGGUGAACCAGAGCUUGCUCUGGGGAUCAGUGGCGAACGGGUGAGUAACACGUGGGCAACCUGCCCCAGACUCUGGGAUAACCUCGGGAACCGAUGCUAAUACCGGAUACGACCACUUCGGACAUCCGACGGUGGUGGAAAGUUUUUCGGUCUGGGAUGGGCCCGCGGCCUAUCAGCUAGUUGGUGGGGUAAUGGCCUACCAAGGCGACGACGGGUAGCCGGCCUGAGAGGGCGACCGGCCACACUGGAACUGAGACACGGGUCCAGACUCCUACGGGAGGCAGCAGUGGGGAAUAUUGCACAAUGGGCGAAAGCCUGAUGCAGCGACGCCGCG
rnacentral:rRNA from 1 species